rnacentral:lncRNA from 1 species
GGCAGCGUGCGGCCCGCGCUGAGCCAGCGGCAUGGAGAGCGGCUUCGGCUCCGACUUCGGCUCCGACUUCAGCUCCGGGGCUGGCGGCGGGGGGAAGCUGGACCCGGGGCUCAUCAUGGAGCAGGUGAAGGUGCAAAUCGCCGUGGCCAACGCUCAGGAGCUCUUGCAGCGCAUGACGGACAAGUGCUUUCGGAAGUGCAUCGGGAAGCCCGGCGGAGCGCUGGACAACUCGGAGCAGAAGUGCAUCGCCAUGUGCAUGGACCGGUACAUGGACGCCUGGAACACGGUUUCCCGAGCCUACAACUCUCGGCUGCAGCGGGAGAGAGCCAACAUGUGAAGCACUCCGGCUCCUGGAGCAGGGAAGGACCAUGUGGGCAAGGGAUGAGCGGCCAGUCCAGGUGGUUGGGGGUGAAAGCCUGCUGCCUUUCCAGCCCCUGCCAUGGCAGAGCAAUAAACCCUCGCUGAACCUUUUGCAUCCAUUGGCUUUUAUUAGCAACCAGCCUCAGGAGCGAGGGAAUUUUCCAGCCUCGAGAGCCACUGCGAGCUGCUUGGUUUGGUUCAUGCCCUCUCCAACGGUCCAGACUGACCAUGGAUCAGCUGAUAAAUCCCUGCUGGAAGGGCUGCGAGAGGCGAGGAGCGUUCUGUGGACAAGGAGCACCAAGCCAGCAACACAGUCCCCUUGCCCAGGAAGCAAGCAUGGACUCAGCCACCACACAGUUACCCAGGCCCUUCCCAUCAGCUGCCACACUUGGCUCUUUCUUCCCUUGUAUUUUUAUAGCUGUUUGGGGGGGCUCACUUUUGGGUUCGUAGGCUUUGACUCAGCUCAAGCAAUGUGUUGGGGAGCAGGGGUGCUCUUGCAGGUUUGCAGCACAGCCUUGCCGAUACUUGUGCAAGCACAGCUGGGGUUGGAAAGGGUUGGGAAAUAAUUUGGGUUGAGUUCAUUAUAGAAUAAAACAUAUUGUGUGGCUGUGAUAUUCUGUAACCUCUGGUUUGGCUCCGGCACAGAAUGUUCCAUCUUGGAGCCUGCCUCUUGGGCACCAGUUUUUUGAAGGAGAAGCACUUCUGCAACAGAGGAUGUGGGUCUGCUUUGGAGCUGAGCCCUAGUUUGUUCUUGGCUCACAAACCUCUCCUGGAAAGGCCGAUUUAUGCUGUGUGGUCAGCAGUGUGCACAGCAGCUGGAAGAGGAAAGUGUUGGAGAAAAAGGUGCCCAUGCCCGUGGAGUGAGAUUUUUGAAAUCCCUUCAUCUGAAGCUCUGUUGUGUUUUAUAAAACACUUCACUGUUUGCUGGGGCAGGGAGACACACUGGAGGGGUAACAUCUCCUUGCUUGCUAGGACGUUCAAAGGGAUAUAGGAGAACCUGAUCUAAUUUACUCUCCCAGUAUGGUUGGUGGCUUCUAUGAAGGUACCAAAGUGUUCUCACACAAGGUGAACUAUUAGGAGAUAACUGGGUAUUUGGAUUAAUUGAAACUGAACUGGAGUUUCCCAUCCAGUGUGGGUAGAAUGACUACUUGAAAAUAAAGUGCUUUCCAGCCA